GGGGCUGUAGCUCAGUAGUAGAGUAUGUGCCUCACACAUAUAAGGCCUUGGGUUCAAUU
rnacentral:tRNA from 1 species